rnacentral:lncRNA from 1 species
CAAAAAAAGCCCUCUCCUCGAAAAGCACUGUUUUCUCAGCCCAGUUCAUGAUACUAAGACUGACAGCAGGGAGAAUUUAGAAAGUCAGAGUCCAUUUUCCUGAGCUGGAAUUUACCCAAGACACCAAGGUUAACACUCCAUUGCUGAAGAGAACUUUAAAGGCUUUAAAAAAACUAAAUCUGCCAGAAUCCAGGUAGGGAGGAAGGAUAGCUCAGUGGUUUGAGCAUUGGCCCCCUAAACCCAGGAUUGUGAGUUCAGUCCUUGAUGGGGCCACUUAGGAAUUUGUGGCAAAAUCAGUACUUGGUCCUGCUAGUGAAGGCAGGGGGCUGGACUCAAUGACCUUUUAGGGUCCCUUCCAGUUCUAUGAGAUAGGUGUGUCUCUCUCUCUCUAUAUAUGUAUGUUUUUAACCCUGCAGUGCAUUUCCAUGGCCACCAGGCUUCUGAAGGGAAGUUCCACCCUGCAGAGAAGUAACUGCCCUUAUAAGUGCAAAGCUCAAGUAUACUGGCGGGAAUUUUGGACACACAAAAUAUGAAAUAUGCACAUCAGACAAUAUUAUUAGCUACCGAGAUAAGUAAAUCCAGAUAUAGCUUUGCCUUCUAGCUGUUGUUCAAUCAAUAGCAUUGCGCAAUAUUUGGCAUUCCAUUGCCUCAGAAACCAAGACCUACGUGAGUGAAUUGUUCUCAUUUCAUGGCAUCUAGCCAGACCAGGAUGCCUAGCCUCCAGCAGUAUGCAGCCUACUUGGGCUUAUCCCCUGGGAGAGGAGCGAGUUUCAGCAGUGAAGAAGAAACAUCAGUGAUGCCUCCACCCCAGCCAAGCUGGCUUGUCCCUUGCCCAAGAUCUCGCUCCCAAAGGGCUCUUUCUCUUGUUGUUGUUUUUCUUUGAAACGCCUUCAUGUUAAGCUGGCUAAUUAUGAGACUCUCCUGACGUCUCACAUUGACCCUGGGCCAUGCUCCAGGAGUAACUGCCCAAGCCAGCCAAUCAUCCCAAGCCUGCUGCUCAUUAAAUGAAGCAUGAGGCAGUGGGAUCUCCAAAAGGCCUGGCCAUGAUGAGAACUGGGCAGGGCAUGAGAGAGAAAAGCCGCACACUAAUGGAUUAAUGAUUUAUUCUCCUGAUGUUAACAUUAAAGUUAUGAUCCACUUUCUACUAAAUCACAGCUAAUGUUAGCAGCAGAUGCAUCCUAUUAGAACAUGCAGUCCAGCCUUUGCCUGUGGGGGAUUGUCCCAUACAAUAGCUAUUCCAGUGCUAGACACAAUUAAAUUUUAUAAUAAUUUUUUGGUAAUUGUCUCUGUUUGUGUAUAUACGUAACGCUCAUCGGAGGGACACGUCUGUAUUAUGUCUGUAUUAUGUAGAUUUUGUUAUCUAGAGGCUCCAACUGUGAUCACGGCCCCAUUGUGCUAGCCACUGUACAGACGCACAGUGAGAGACAGUGCCUGGCUCAACAAAACUUGCUGUCCAAUAACUAGGGCAGAAUUAUUGCCUCCAGUUGACAGAUGGGUAAUGGAGGCACAGGGAAGUUAAAUGGCGUGAGAUAAGGUCACACAAGAAAUUCUGUGGCAGGACUUGGAACUGAACUCCAAUCUCCUGAGUAUCAGUCUAGUGUCACAACUACAAGUCACUCCUUCAAACAGCAGAGUGCACCUCUACGACAGCUUAUAAAUGCUAAUUAAUAUGUUAAAAUGAACUGUUCCUGAGUUAUCAAGGAACCAAGAAUUAUUUACAGAAGUUAUUCCAUGAACAAUUUUGAGUAACAAAUUAAAGGAAAGCUGAAACUGCUGGCAAUUUGUGAACACAAAACAAGGAGAUGAAUUCAUUGAAUAAGUCAGAGGUUCUCCACCAUUUUACGUUGUGGACUACAUCUUUAAAGAGUGAUUAUUUCUUGGACCCUGUCCUCUCUGAUUGGCUGUCAUGCAGCCCACCACUCUUCAUGGUCUCAUAACAUUUCUCUGGCAGCUACAGUAAUAACCUAUGUAUAACUGUAACAUUAGGACAUUAUUUCAUGUAUCUGUAGCUGUCUUUUAAUAGAAUUCAGUAGUUGCAAAAAGGCAGGAGGAGCCCGGACCAUGUGACCAGCCAGUUCUGCACAGAUCACAGUUUGGGAACCACUGAACUAGUCACUGUGAGUUAUUAAUUCAUCUCUGCUAAGAAGGCUGGUAUGAGUUCCAUUACAUAAACUGAUAAUGACGUUUGUCCCUUCAUUACCUAUGAUUAGGCAGUAUGGGAUCUGAGUCUGUUCGUGCAUUUUGCUGCAGGUUAGGCAGGUGAUAAUGAAGUCCAUGUUGUAGAAAUGGCUACUGUUGGAGUGCAAAGGAUUUAAGGUAGAAUAUUGUUAUGAGUUGGGUUAAACCUUGUUAUGAGUUGAAUUAAAACUGCACCGAAACUGGUGUACAAAUGUGCCCUUCACUUAAGUUUGCUAUAAGGGACAGUUAUGGAGUCAUACCUAAAACAAGGCCUAUUCAUCAUCGGCAGUACAUGCAAUGUGCCCAGCCAUUUAAUGGCGUCAUCAUCAACCAGGUGAAGAGCUGUAGCCAGCCGUCAAAAUAAGUCAGUGGGCACUCGACCCUGAUAUGCAACAUAGUCUGAAGUUGACUACAGCUGCAUCGCGGGUCAUUAGAUAAACAUCAUUUAAAGAGACUGUCCAUACAGUUACCCUGUCCUGUUCGAAAUCGGUUCGGAGACAACCACAGGUGCCUGGGCAGAUCAAAACCUGGUAGACAGGAGGCCUAAUAGGGGAUGUCUACGCUGCAAUAAAAAACCUGUGGCACUGAGUCUCA